GUGGCGCGUGUCGAUAAAACAUUAAAUAACUUUCUAAUUACUUAAGAUAUGAUUAUAAAACUUGAAAUUAUUUAUUUUUAAAACGUUAACUUAUAUAUGCAAUGUCCUUUGUGUCAAUUUUAUCAUUCCAUCAGGUCCUUAGUGCAAUUUUUUGUUCUUAGUGCACUAAAGGGGUCUUUUGCGGUAUUUCUACGGACCCCCAAAAAAGAAUUAAAGGACAAAACG
rnacentral:lncRNA from 1 species